AUGUCCUUUGAAUUGUUGUGCCGCCAUAUAUUCUUAUCAUUGUAUAAUCUUCGGAUACUGCAUGCAGAUCGAGUCCUAGCACAACUUUGCCCAUCAGUGCAGCGAGCAUUGCGGCAUGGAUUCUCCCAUCUUCUCUUAGCCCCCAUGGAAAUCUAUCCACGUCUCUCUCAAACUAGAGCAAGCAAGUUUGGGCAUGGAUCUGGUGUGAUCACAGAUUCGAUUUUUCUUUCUAUCGUCGAUUUUCUAACAUGUCAUUUGAAUUGUUGUGCCUCCAGGGAUUCAAUCACCAAUCUUAUCAUGUAUAAUCCUGGGAUACUACAUGUAGAUCAGGUCCUAGCACAACUUUGCCCAUCAGGUGAGAUACAAUCUUCAAUACUUUGGGUUCUAUUACUUCUUUUGUAG
rnacentral:rRNA from 1 species